rnacentral:tRNA from 10 species
GGCGCCUCUCCCUCCACACCUCCCUGGAAGCUGAGGGAGCCAGCUCUGGCCUUGGCCAGCCCAGAAACGGGCUCCCACAGUGAAGCGGUGGGCUGAAGGGCUCCUCAAGUGCCGCCAAAGUGGGAGCCCAGGCAGAGGAGGUGCCGAGAGUGAGCGAGGGCUGCAAGGGCUGCCAGCACGCUGUCACCUCUCAAUAGGGUUUCGCCAUGCUGGCCAGGCAGGUCUCCAGCUCCUGACCUGAAGUAAUCCACCAGCCUUGGCCUCCCAGAGUGCUGGGAUUACAGGCAUGAGAAUUUUACUUUAUAUGCAAUUGUAACAACCUUUCCUGUAUGUUUAUUGUUUCAGUGUUCUGUGAAGGCUAACUAAUGGUUACCAAUGAGAAAUCUGAAGAAAUUAGGUGCCUUGGAAACAGAAAUGACUAUAUAGUACCCAGAAAGGAAUCUGAAAUUUGAAAAAGAGUAUUAAGAAAAUUUUGUAAUGAUACUGUUGUUCCAACAGCAAGGCAGUGUGGAAUGCAUUUUAGAAGAUUUUCAAAGUGAAUGAAAUGGAAAAACAAGGCAUCUAAAGUGAUAAACAUUCAUUAUUUUGGAAUUUUUACUUACAUGGAAUAUCGCUUUGCUUGGUGAUGAUUGAUAAAUAAAGUAUGAUAGAACCUUUAGACGUAGCUAUUUAUGUAUUCAAAAUACUUGCCUUUGAUUUUUAGAGCCUUGCAACAAAGCUAUUAUAAACUUUUCUCUCUAAACUCUGGUUUCAGUAUCAGAUGAAAGCCUACUCUUUAGAAAAGAUUUUAAGAAAAAAUACAAUCCUGUCUAUAUUAAGUCAUGUAAUAGAAAAUAGAAAUUUAAAAUAAAGGGUCUGGACUUAAACCAAGUUAUUAAUACUUUUAUACAUUUAAAUAGCGGCAUGUGAUUUACAUCCAAUGUGUCUCAUGCUGGAAAGGUUGAACUAAGCCAAGAGCUAAAGAACUAAAACUCUAAAGAAAAACAAAAACAAAAACAAACAACAACAAAAAAACUCUUUCAGAUUAACAUUUUCAACCAAAUACAGUUAAUUUUCAGAGAACUAAAAUUUGAUUAAAACCAACAAAAUUAUAUGUGUUAAAUGUAGAAGUAAUAAUAGCUAUAGUACCAUUAAGAUUGUAAAAUUAAAAUCAAGCUGUAAUUUAAACUAGAAUGCUAAUGAAUACCUCAUUCUUACUCCACCAUGGUUCAACCCCUUUUGCACUAUUUCAACAGCCUCCUAAUAAUGAGGUCUCCUUGUCUCUGAUCUUUAUUUCGUCUAGUUCAUCCUGUUCCUUUUAUGAAAUUAGCCCUUCCAGAGAAGUGUUAUCCUAUAUCAUUCCCACACUAAAAAACCUUCAAAUUUUUAACUGAGUUAAGGGCAAAUCUGUCAGUUUGUACUUCAGAUCCUCUACCAUAGUGGUUUUUCAAAUGAAUUAUCUGGAAACCUAAUAAUCUGUAGUUCAUUAGAAGUUUUACAAAGUUUUGUUACAAGUACAGUGGAUGCUGAGACUGUAAUUGCUGUUUAUUAACCUGGGCUUCAAAUGUCUAGAUGUCAUUAGGCCAGAACAUUGUAGAAUAAUUGUGCUAGAUUUGAACCUAUAAAGUAACUGUAUUCUAAUUAUAACUUUGAAAUCUUUUACAUUAGAGUUCUACAUAACAUUUUAUUUGGAAAGGUGGUUGAUCUAUUAAGAGUUUGACAAGAGUUGUUCUGCAACGUGCCAACGGUUUUAUCACCAAAAUUGCCACAAAUUAUUGUAUCCUGUAUCUACUAUCUUUUUGUUGUUGUUUUUGUUGUUUUAGGGACAGUCUUGCGAUAUGGCCGAGGCUGGAGUGCCGUGGUGCGAUCAUAGCUCACUAAAACCUGGAACUCCUGCACUCGAGGGACUCCUGGGAACUCUGAGCAAUGCUCUCACCUCAGCCUCCUGAGCGGCUAAGACUACAGGUGACUGCCACCACACUUGUCUAAUUUUAGAAUAUUUUUGUAGAGAUAGGAUCUUGCUAUGUUGCCUAGUUUAGUCUUGAACACCUCGCCUCAAGAAAUCCUCCUGCCUUGGCCUCCCAAAGUGUUGAGAUAUCAGGUAUGAGACACCCUGCCUGGACUUGCAUCUACUAUCAUGCUGGUCCCUCCACCCAAAAUUUCCUUCUCCUCAUUCUGUUCCCCAUGUCUCUAUGUUAAAUCUUUUAAAGGCUAUCAUAGCCUUUCCUGAUCCACCUACCCAACUUUCUCUUAACUUCGUUUCAUAUAUAUAUAUAUGGCAUCCAUUGAGUUUUUCUUUCCUGUGUUUUCUCCAUAUUCCGUCCUAGGUUAAUUUUGCCUGGGGGCAAACAUUAUGUCUUUUUUUUUUUUUUUUUUUUUGAUGGAGUUUUGCUCUUGUGGCCCAGGCUAGAGUGCAGUGGCACGAUCUUGGCUCACCACAAGCUCCAUCUCCCGGGUUCAAGUGAUUCUCCCGCUUCAUCUUCCUGAGUAGCUGGGAUUACAGGUAUGUACCACCACGCCUGGCUAAUUUUGUGAUUUUAGUAGAGAUGAGGUUUCUCCAUGUUGGUCAGGCUGGCCUCAAGCUCCCGACCUCAGGUGAUCCGCCUGCCUUGGCCUCCCAAAGUGCUGGGAUUACAGGCGUGAGCCACUGUGCCUGGCCAAAAUUAUGUCUUACUUUGCACUUAUUUAACUACCAGAAUUUUAAAGAAAGGAAUUGAGCACCAAGAUUUCUGAAAGUGAAAAUCAGCAUCACCACCACAUACAUUCUGUAAAUUCUAUGCUUGAAGAGCCUUACCUUUUAUCCAAUAAUAAAAGAUGUUUGCUAAUUAGCCAAGUAUGGAAAGUACGAUAAUUUCAUAGAACAUAUAUAAAAUUAUCAAUGUUUUACAAUGACUUGACAAUAUGGGAAAUAUGAUUAGUAAUAACAAAGAUAAUGAAAAUGACAAUUUGUUGAGUGCUUAUCAUAUGCUGUAUCUCCCCCUAUAAUUUCUUACCUCAUGCUAACGGUUCUCCAAAAUGAACAACAUCUCACUUUUACAGAAGAAAAAAUUGAUACUCCAGAGGUGAAAUCAUUUGCUCAAGUUUACAAGAGUAAAAAUAGGAGAGUCAGGAUUCAAUCUUGGCUCUGUGUGGCAGAAGAGUUUUUGUUCUUUCCAGUUUAUCAUGCUGUCACUCAAAAUGAAAACAACAGUAGCAUGUGUAUGAAUUCCUCCUGGAGGAAAGUUUGAAUGUUACUAUUCAAUAGAUCUGCCUUGAGACUUCUUUGUGUCUGUUACAAAAUUCUUGCUUGAGGGUAUCUCAAAACAAAACACCCACUUGGGCAGAAAGCUGCCUUCCCCAGUUAGUGAGCAAUUUCACUCUUCCUGGCUGAGAAGGUUUCUACCAGGAUAGGUGAAAACAAAAAGGAAAGAAUUGAAAAAUAGAAAUGUUAUAUACUUGGAGAUAUGAACUGAAAAAUUGCGUUACUACUGAUAGAAGAAUAUAGUCAAAUAAGAAUAAAGAGAAAAAAUACACAAAAUGUUAGUUAAAUAUAGAUUUGUGAGCAAUUCUGGUAUUGCUAUUUGGGUGGUGAUGAAAGCUAAAUAAUCAAACCAAUAGAUACAGACUUCCUAUAAUAGCAGAAUAGAGGAGAGAUAUUGAUCAAAAUGCUCUUCAAGUCUGUGAGAGUUUCAGAUUUCCAGCUCAGAUUCUGGCUUGCUUCUCAACUUGAACCAACACCAACAGUGCCAGUUUCCUUGAGAGAACUACUGCCUCUUCACUAAUACAACCAGCUAGCCUCAGUUCUAUCUGCCAGUCCUGUUUUUGCCUUCUUCUCCUGGUUGGCAGUCUCCCUGCUUUCAGGCCCACUUUAAGCCCUUUGACUCUGGCUAAAAAACAGUUGCCUCAUCCUACAGUAUUUAGCAAUUCAAAACAUCCUUAGGCCACUGAGCUAAAUUUUCCCUUUGGUAGUUUCUAAGUUUAAUGUCUUUCCUAAUCUCACUGCCCCCAUUUCUUCCUUAAUUGUGAUCCUAUAGAGUUUGAGUUCUUACAUUAUAAGUAGUAAAUAACAGAAGUUGCAACAUACUUCAGGCACUUUGAAAGUAGCUCAUGUGAAAAUCACCUUGAGAUAAUGCUGAGAAUGCUGAGAAUACUAGUCUGAAGAGCCCUAAUAAUAAAAGCCCCAGUAAUAGAGAUGCCCAGUGGGGUAGUCUUUGGGGAGAGGAGAGCAGUGAUACAAUUGUUAAUCAGCCCCAGUGUUGAGAGUUCAGUUCCAGUUACCCAGAAGCCAUUGCCCUAAACUUUCAGCAGUUUGGUCUUUUCGCCUUUCCUCUGUCCCUCAGUGUCUCCCUCCCCACUUUUCAUCCUUCAUACUGAUUUUCCUGACCCGUUGCCUCUCUGAUCUUACACUUAUUGAUCUGAAGAAGGACUUUUCAUUUCAUGAGAACAUUUCCCCUAAGACAAAGUAAGAAGAGCUGUUUAAGACUAUAAUACUGUUUAGAUAAUAUUUUUCAUGUAGGAAUAAGACGUUUUGCACAUAGGAGAGGAUUGUAAUCUCCUAUGUUAAGCUAACCACUUAACAAAAUUUCACUUAUAUUUAAAAAUGAAAAACAAUUUAUACCUAUUAAACCUAGCCAUCAGAAUGUAAAAAUUAUGACUAAAACAUCUAAUUUUCAAACAUUAGGUGUUAGACACUUGGCUAAGCAUUUUAUACGCACUUUUUCAUUUAAUCUCCAAAAUCAGUACACAUCAGGGAAUAGGUGCUAUUAUUAUUAUUUCUAUUUACCACAUGAGAGAAGUGUUGAAAUUUAUAGAAACCAAGUAACUUGUCCAAGGCUGCAGAAUUGUACUCAGAAUUCUCAGGAAUUAGAGCCUGCUAACAACAAUGUCAAGAACAACAGCUCUUGAUUAUUUAUACUGCUACAGACUUUAUGUUAUAAAAUUAAAGCUACAUCUUGAUAGUCAUUUGGUCAGUAAUAGCUCUCCUAAAGCUAUUACAGAAUAAACUGAAUGAUAGAAAAAAAAAUCUAUUGGUCAAAUUUCACAGAGAACUAAUUUCGGUCAAUUAUAGAGUUAGUUCCAACAGUAAACUCUAUUUGUAUUGUAUUUCUUAAUAUUAUGAUAAAAAUUAUUUUUUCUCCUUGUAGAGAUGUUCUCAUGUAGCCUAAUAAAAAAGAGAAAAAUACGUGGUAAGAUGGUCUAAAACACCAUAUAUCGAUUUUCUUGUUAAUUUGACAUCUUUCUCUAGAACUGUUCUUAGAGCUUGAAAAACAAGAAUUUCCUUCCGAGAAGAAAUAAUCUCUGAAACUUUGACAAAUCCCUAUCUAAUGAGAACAUCUCCUUAAGAACACACAUAUACUUUUACAUUAAACAGUGUGCUGACCUUUAGACUCAAUGUUUAAGUUACAGUGUUACAGUGGAUUUAUUUAUUUAACAUGUUUUUAUUGAAUAUCUCUUGUGGGCAAAAAGUUUUAUGUAAUAAAAAGGCCCUGUGUGAUCUCAGUGUCAGAUCUUAUUUGUCCUCUCUAGACUCACUGUGUUAACAGACUUAGGUGUCAAGAGUAAUCUCUGCUCCUGAGGGAGUCUGAUUAAGAGUGAGUGAUGUAUCAGGACCACCUCCCCCACUUCCAGAAUGAGGGCAGAGAAUUACCUGUGCAGCCUCAGACCAAACUAAACAAUGACUUCAACCGAUGACACCACAACACACCGACUUCAACUUCCUUCACUGUCAGACAACUCCCACCGUUGUUCUUUACACACUAGACUGAAUCCCCCAUAUAUUUAUACUAAUUGAGUCUAGGUUAGCAACACCUCUUAGGACACUGUGAUUUGGGGCAUUGAAUAUUUUAGGGGAUCUCAUCUACUUUGGAUCAGCUCCUACCCUUAAAAUCCCAACUGACCCUACCAGUUGGAGAUCCCAGAAUAUCUUGAGCUAAAUCCAUUUAAUUAAAAAACUUAUUUGUCAGAACUAAACUGAAACUUAAAGAUCAGUUGCUGUGUUAUUUUAAUCAGAUCAACUUCUUCAAAUAAAAUUUAAUGGGGAAGCUCAAAUUUUCAAAUCCCAAUAAACAGAAAUGAAGGUGCAGUUGAAACAAGAGUACAGCAAUGAAAUGAGAAGACCGAAGAUUCCUCCCACGUACUUCCCACCCACCAUCCAUAUACCUAUUCAAGGUUUUAGAACACAGCCUUUACAUCCCUGGUAUUCCUAGUUUAUACCAACUGAUUCUGAAUCUUAGGUACCCGUCCAAAUUUACCUAACUAGUUGGUCUGGAAUCCCAAAUUCAAACUCAGUAUAUUAAAGUUCUCUAGAGAAACAGAACCACGUGAAUAUGUAUGUGGGUGUAUGUUUUCUGCAAACAUACAGAGAGAGAGAAUGAGAGAGAGAUUUUAAGGAAUUGACUGUGGAGGCUGGGAAGUCUGAAAUCUAAGGCAGAUCAUCAGGCUGAAAAUCCAGGAAAGAGCUGAUGCUGCAGUUUGAGUCUGAAGGUAGUUUAGAGGCAGAAUUCUCUCUUCCUUUGGGAAUUUCAGUCUUUUUCUAUUGAGGCCUUCAACUGACUAGAUGAUAACUACCCACGUUAUGAACAAUUAUCUGCUUUAUUCAAAGCCUACUAAUUUAAAUGUUAAUCACAUCUAAACAGUACCCUCAAAAUGACAUCUAGGCUAAUGUUUGACCAAAUAUUAGGUUACUGUGGCCUAGUCAAGUUGACACAUAAAAUUAACCAUUACACCAUGGGUCCUUAAUCUAAAAACUUGUGCUUUUUCUCUUAUGAAUAAGGAUUUAUGAUCCUAUAGAAGAGAAAGACAUUAUAAUAUAGGCUGUUCACUGUUUACCUAAUAUUAAUUCUCUCCUUUCCCUUCCUAACAAAAUAUAAAAUUUUUGUAUGAAGGUCAAGGAGCCUACCUAAAAUACGAAACUUUCUAGUCCUCCCUACCAUUAUAGUUGGCCAGAGUAAUGUAAGUGAAGUCAUUGGAUACAGUUCUGGGAAAGCUCUUUAAAGGGGCUAGCAGAUUCAGCUGCCCUGACCAGGUGUAGGGCCUCUUGACCUUUUCCCUGUCCUUCUUUCUCUUGCCUUGAAUUUGGACUGAUGACUGAAGAUGGUGCAGAUAUCAUGUAAUCACAAGUAUCUAGGGGAUCUGAGGGAGCCAAGUCCUAACAUUUUUUGAGCUGAUGAGCUGAUGAACCAGCAGCAGUUACUAUUUCCAGAUUCCUUAUUACAUUAGAAAAGACAAAUGUGUUUAUUGUUUUUCUAAGCCUGCAUUAAUGUAUGCAAACUAAAUCCUACGUUGAUACAGAUAAGGACACAGAUCACUACAAUGAACAUCUUGAAAACUGAACAGUGAUGAAAACCUUGAGACUGUACCUAAGGAAAUGAGUCAAAAGGAACAAGUUGAUAUAAACUAGACAUAGUAAGUACAUCAAACACUAGCAAAGACUAUGAAACAGGUACACCGGAGGACUGAACAGCUGCCAUUGAAUUCAGCAGAAAGGUAAAUGGAUCUAAAUGGCUAUAGGAAAAAAGGAGAUGCGCGCUUAAAAGAACUAAACUUCCUAGCCGCAAUGUUAGGAGAAUCACUGGAAUGAAUUAUAGUGAAAGUUGUGUACCUUCUUUCUCUGAACCUUUCUGAAAAGUGAAAAGACAGGAGAAGGACAAGGACAAGUUAGCUGUCCUCAUUUGCAGUGUUCACUCCAUAUGUCUCCUCCUGACAGAUGCUUUGAAAAGCUU